rnacentral:misc_RNA from 1 species
CGACAAUAUCGUUCCUUCCAAAAGAUGAUGCUCGGAGAACGACACCGUCCCAAUCCGUCGGUACACGUUCCGCCGUGGGCCCUCCUCGACGAUACAAAUCCUGAGGCUUAUCCUUCGUCGCCGAUGGGCUCCCACUCCGGCAAUGCUGCUACAGCCUCUGACUACAACCCGUACAAUAUCCAAGAAGUGGUGGCUGCGCUGCAGUGUUAUCUGCCGUCGAACGAACCGGACUUGGACCCUGACUACGAGUUAUCGGGUCUGGAGCCGGACUCUCCGGUGGACGCCUACUCUUGCGAUCAUUUUCGGAUGUUCGAGUUCAAGGUGAGGCGGUGUGCACGUGGCAGGUCACAUGACUGGACCGAGUGCCCUUACGCUCAUCCAGGUGAGAAAGCUAGGAGAAGGGACCCGAGAAAGUAUCAUUACUCUGGUACAGCUUGCCCUGAUUUUCGCAAAGGGAGUUGCAAGAAAGGUGAUGCGUGUGAGUUCGCCCAUGGUGUGUUUGAGUGCUGGUUGCACCCUGCGCGUUACAGAACUCAGCCGUGCAAGGAUGGUCCAAACUGUAGGAGGAGGGUCUGCUUUUUUGCUCACACGGCGGAGCAACUCAGGGUUCUGCCUCAGCAGAGCCCUAGGAGUGUCAACUCCAUCGACUCUUACGAUGGAUCGCCCCUGAGACAGGCUAUAGAAGCUUCUUGCGGCAAAAGUCUUCCCUUUUUGGCUAGCCCCGGAUCGAUUUCACCUCCUGCCACGCCGCCGGUUGAUUCCCCUCCUAUGUCGCCGAUGACUCAAUCCUUAAGUCGGUCCCUUGGGUCUAAUUCGAUCAAUGAAAUGGUGGCUUCACUAAGGAAUUUACAGCUUGGCAAGGGGAAGUCCUUGCCUUCUUCUUGGAAUGUGCAGGUUGGUGGAUCCGGGUUUGGAUCUCCAAGAGGGUCAAUGAUCCGACCCGUAUUCUGUAGCCUGCCAUCCACUCCAACGGGCGGUCCAACCCGUUCAGGACUGGGUCACCGUGAUAUUUGGGAAAAUGAUUGCGAGGAGGAGCCUGCGAUGGAGAGAGUGGAAUCAGGGAGGGACCUGCGUGCAAAGAUGUUUGAGAAGUUGAAGAAGGAGAACUCGUUGGGUCGGGUUGGCCCGUAUGCAGGCCAAUCUACUAAUGGUCCGGAUGUUGGGUGGGUCUCGGAGCUCUUGCAGUGAAGUGAGCCCGAGCCAAGUUGCUUUUGAAAAUUGUUAAUUAUUUUUGGUGAAGUCUACCCCUCACUGUGAAUAGUAUUUGAAGAAUUGAGAGAGGGAAAAUGGGAAUUUGGCAUCUGGAAGCAAGAAAUUUGUGUAUAUUUAAAAAAAAAAAUCAUUAAUAAGUAGAAUUAAAUCUUGUGGGUGAAGAGCUACGAAUCUCUUUUUUGGGGAAUUUUCUGAGAAAGUCCAGAAUUCUGACAGCAAUUGAAGUAGAAGUUGGAGGAGAAAUUGUAUAAUGAAGAAGAAGAUGGAUUAUUCCCUUUUCUCUAUUCGGUUUUAAUGGUUGAGUAGUGUCUCUGUUAGUAUUAAAAUUAUGAAAAUAUGGAAGCUGCAGAUCUUAUUAUUGUAAAAAAAAAAAUUGAAGAUUACAGCCAUGUAAUUGCCUCAGCUAUUUUGCUGUAUUGAAUUUGCUUAGGUAUUUGUUCACCUGAAUUUGUUUAUUAAAAUAAUUGAAUAAAUAUAUUAUAUAUCUAUAUUAAAAAAAUGAGAGAUGGGAGAUGAUAAACAUUAGAGUGAGAUCCUCCCUUGUUGAGGGUAAGAUUGAAGAUAGUCAACAUUUACAUGUCUGUGUUUGAAGGGACAGAAAAGAAAGGGUUAGGUUUAGUAACAGAGGCAUUGAGGAGGAUACCAG